GCGGCCGGAAGCGUUCCCGCCGCCCGCUCAGCAGCCCUUGUUCACCAACUCGGACCUGCGCAGAGCUGAAGAUCGUACCCUUGGUCAUCUUCCCGUAGGGGCUCCCUUUGGCACUCGGCUACCACCACCCCCAGAGAGAAGUCCCAACCCGCCUCAGGGGCUGACUGCUCAUCUGCAUACCAAGGGGCCAUGGAAAUGCAUGAUUAGGAGGCUAAAGCUUGUAAACGUACUUCAGAACCACCCAACCGCAGACUACAGGAGCAAAAUACAUCAAUAAAUGCAACCACCCCC
rnacentral:lncRNA from 1 species